AAAAAAAAUGUUUAUUUAUAGUAGUCAUUGGGAUAAAUUAAUUCAAUCUGUUCGUUGUUUUCUUAACAAAAUAGCACAUUAGCAAAGGUGGGAAGGGAGCAUUUUAUCUAGCUACAUGCUUAUAACUUUUCUGAUAAAACCAGAACAUGACUCCCGAUAUGAUGAAACCACAAUAUCUCUAUUGGUGGUUCCUCUGAUUUCUCUAUUUUCCUAAACCUUGCCAUGCAUGCUCUAAUCAUUUUUCUUCCUGGUUAAUCAUCAGUAGACAUCAUUUAUUUCAAAUAUGUGAGUUAUGCAUUGCUGAUCACCAAUAAAGGAAGCAGUCAACUUUUAUUUGGUCCAGGAGUGGUUGACUGAUUCUUCUUGAAAUUGCUGUUUGUUACUAACCAUUUCUAUUAUUUUAUGUUGUCUUUUUCUUUUAAUCUUUUUCAGUAUCCAGGUUCCAUAGCCAUACAUUACCACUAGAAAGGCAACUACUUUCAUGUUUGCUGUCACUGAAUGCCCAGCCAACUAUGAACACCCGAAAGUCAAAUAAAAUGCAAUGAAUUCUCAAACAUCCAAGGUGUAACAUUUCUAAGUGACAAAAGGAACUGGAGAAAACUAACAGAAUCAAAUAGUGACUGAGAUCUAUUGAUUAUGGAAAGAAAUGCAUUAUGUGGUCAAAGAUACUUAUCCUUUCAUAAGAAUAAAUAAGGUAGAUUAAUCCAAAGAGUU